AAUUAGAAUUCCUAUGACCUAAGCAAACUUGAUUGAAAAUGAUGAUCAAGACCUAUUUACAGGCCUCCGUAGGCCGUCCAGAGGUAGUAUUUGGGCGAAGUUAUUUACAGUACUUAAUUGCUGAAGAAAUUGAAUGAAUUAAUCAUUUAUUCCUGUCUAGAGGUAGUACUGUGAACUUGGGAAGUCCAUGCUGGCUAAGGUAGUUGCAUCAGAAUCAGAAGCUACUCUACCUUUUUCAAUGUUUCUGCCUCGUCACUUACUUCAAAUUGUGUGGAAGAGGGUGAAAAGCUUGUUCGUGCCAGGAGUUGUCCAUAUCUGUGAAAGGUGCAUAAAGCUAGAAUAUAAGUUGUCAGAACACUAUAGAACGAACAACUCCAAUAGUAUGAUGCCUAAAAACAAAGCCGUGUGGCUCGGCCCAAAGUGGACAAUAUUCUACUAUUAAUGUGGAGUUUUGCUUAGCUGGCCCAACAGUUCGGACCCUUUUUAUGGUUGCGAUUUCCAGGAAGCCAUAUGUAAUAUUUAUUGAUGAAGUACGGAACUCUUCUGAGUAGAAUUGUGGUUUCUUUUAGCUCUACAUUGCUCACCUUUGUCCUCAGGUUUCCUUUAGCUGCUAGUUGUUCCUUACAUGUUACUUGAAUCCUUAUGUUUGUCUUGAUGAGUCUUUCCUCUGCUUCUACUGUAUAAUGACUAUAGUUUUAACACUUUAACCCCAGUUCUUGUCAUUGUGUUUAGCCAAGGAUGCAAUGUGUUGCAAGAAUUGCACCAAGUUGCACUUUGCAUCUUUGACAGAUUGAUAGUGUAAUACAUUCCUUCCAUGUAACUUUGUUCAGAAUCGUCUUUUUGAAA